UUGACUUGUUUGUCCUGGUGGGCUGUU
rnacentral:piRNA from 1 species